CGUCCAGACUCCUACGGGAGGCAGCAGUGAGGAAUAUUGGUCAAUGGCCGAGAGGCUGAACCAGCCAAGUCGCGUGAGGGACGACUGCCCUAUGGGUUGUAAACCUCUUUUAUAAGGGAAGAAUAAAUGCUACGUGUAGCAUGAUGCCUGUACCUUAUGAAUAAGCAUCGGCUAACUCCGUGCCAGCAGCCGCGGUAAUACGGAGGAUGCGAGCGUUAUCCGGAUUUAUUGGGUUUAAAGGGUGCGUAGGCGGAAGCCCAAGUCAGGGGUAAAAUCGCGGGGCUCAACCUCGCUCCGCCGUUGAAACUGGCGUUCUUGAGUGGGCGAGAAGUAUGCGGAAUGCGUGGUGUAGCGGUGAAAUGCAUAGAUAUCACGCAGAACUCCGAUUGCGAAGGCAGCAUACCGGCGCCCAACUGACGCUGAAGCACGAAAGCGUGGGUAUCGAACAGGAUUAGAUACCCUAGUA
rnacentral:rRNA from 1 species